GAGACACAAUCGGUGACCCAGCAAGGCUGUGUAGAGGGCGGGCGAAGGAGACGGGAACAUUUAGUCUCCUGCGUCCUGCGCUCGUCACCACUGACACAAGAAACCUCACGGUGCUGCAGUCCAUUUCCACAAGAUGAUGAACACUAUGGAGAACGACACAGCUGGGGCCACUGAAAAACCAAGGAUAAGCUUCCCGUCUUCCACUUGGGGCACCUCCCACCUCUGCAACGCCUUUGCUUUUGUGGGAGGGGCAGGUGUAGGCAGUUCUCUUCUGGGAUUGGCUGGCCCGAUUGACUGACACAUGUCACAUUACGGUACUUGUAUCCUCUCCCACAGGACACAGAGCACUGCAAGAAGGGGGAAAAAGCUACAGUGAAAUCCAACUGCUUGAUAAACACAAGCCUAAUUAGUGUGUCAUUUGAGGUGAUUAUGUUUGAUUAUGAAGCUGAUUAUGUCUACAUAUGUGACUUUAUGGGUAAGUCAAAGUAAACAAAAGAAUAGAUCAGUCCUGUGGUAAUCAUUGUAAUUACUUUCAAAUUUAUUACCAUUUUGACAGCACAUCAUAUUACGUGGAGAAUUAGUAUAUGGACAUUUACAUUAUAAGAUACCAACAACAUAAUACAUGAUAUACAAUGGGAGCAGCAUAAACAAAUCGUUUGUUUUUACCUCAAAUACUAUUUACAGUAUAAAAAGAGGAAAGAAAAUGUCUCUGAAUCAUAAUGAAUGGCAGUCGCUACAUCUGCUUGCCGAGCUGAAGAAACAGUGACAUAUUUUCUGGCACCAGCGGAUAAAGGGAAAAGAGAGAGAGGCUUCCCUGGACCCCAGGAUGGGAGAGGAACGGAUAAUCAAAGGGCCCCGUAGAGGGAGGAUGGAUAUGAUGCGACAAGUCUGAAGUUGAACGAGUCCAUUCCCAGCAUGCAUUCACAAAAUACAGGAACUAAGAGAACAGAAACUCCCCAAUUGGAUUAUGUGUUCCUGGGGAUACUUUUUCAAGCAAAUCUAGCAAGUCAGUGUGUCACAGUUGUAUUGAAGGUGAUGGAAUUCAUUUUGAACAAAAUAGGUCUUGGGAAAACGGUUUAACAUUCAUAUAUAUAUAUAUAUAUAUAUAUAUAUAUAUAUAUUUGCUUUUACAAAUAUUUACAGUACCAAAAUAUAUACAAUUGGUUCAACUGAUUACAUACAUAGAAUUCAGCAGCGACAACAUGGACAGUUGCAGCAAAAUAAUAAUAAUUAAAAAAAAACUUUACAUAAAAUGAUAUAAAAAUACACUUUUAUCUUUAAAGCAAGACCUCCAUGUACCAUUGUUAUAAUGAUCCACUUUAAUAAUUCAUCCAAAGCCCUAAAUAUUGAUUCAUAAUAAAAUCAUACACUUGCUUACUCUGCCUCAGAAUGUUACAGUGUUUAUAUGUGAGAAUGUGUAAUAUAUAUAUAUAUAUAUAUAUAUGUGUUCUUUUAGGGAUUCUAUUACAAGUGAAGUUGCAUACUUAGUUGUGUGUGAGGGUCUCUUUACUUGAUAUGAAACAUCAAUAAGCAUACAUUUAAAUUGUAUCAGAAUCUUGGUGCUGAUUUCUGUAAUGAGCUAUAAAAGUCUUAAAAUGGCUGGUAUUUUAAUUAUUGACAUCUGAAAUGUUUUUUACAUGUGUCUGAAUAUUUAGGGGCCAUAUCAUUUAGUUUAUCAUAACAUGUAUAAUUUCAUUUGUUUUCAUAUGGCAAGGCCUUUAUUUCAGUAGCGGUUAAGGUGUGGAAACUGCCAUACUGUUGUUAAAUGAAUGCACCACUGAUUUAAUGAGCACAAAUUACCAACUUUUACACUCAAAAGGAUUCCAAUGCAGGGUAAUUUACUUAAAAAUUCCCUUCAUCUAAAAACCACCCACAAUCCUGAAAUGCACAAGCUUGAGUUUGCUUCCCAGAGCAAAAAUGUUUAACCAAAUGUCAUCAAAUUGACAACAGAAAAAUAAAAUGCAUAUGAAAAACAAGUGUAUAUGGGAUUUUUUUUUUUUUUUUGGUCAAAAAUGAACAAUACAGGUAUAUUUGUUAUGCUAAUAAAACAUGUUCAAAACAAAUAUUCCAAUUCAUGACAUCUGAAUGCAAUCAAAACAUAUAAGUUUAACUGUAAUGCCACCCUUCAGUUCAUUGAUCAUGGCUUUUUAGACCAUGCAAAAUUGCCUUUGUUUUCCUUUAAAUUGCUGCCACAAAUGAUCAGUCUAGGAAUGGCAACAUACUUGGUCACGUGCCUCACUAUAUUCCAACGUGAGGACUUCCAAGUAUCAAACUGCACACAGAUAUCCAUGCUAUGUGGGGCCAUCGCUCCUGCCGUUCAAUCUUCCCUUAAGAAUAAAACUCUUUCUGAGAAGUGCGUCCAUUCUGAUUAGAUGAGCUGGGAAGGCCGGUAAAGACCUUCCCACAGAUCAAAGGCCAUCCUUGGCCCCCCAUGCCCUUGCCAUUGUUAUUUUGAUGUAUGCUCACUCGGUUGACUGUGACCAUAUCACCACCAUCAGGGCUAGUUAAUAUCCUGUGCUGUCCAAAAGGAAAUCGACAGCGGUAAUAGACUUCUUCUGUAGGUAUUGAGGUGAGUGAGCACCAAAAAAAGACCCCCAUUUAAGGAUCAUUAAAACAGGUAAAAGAUGUUGAAUACUCAGAUGAGAAAUGAAAUAAAAGCAGCAGGAUAACACAAAAAAGUCAUACAGAAUUGGAAGUUUGACACACGAAACAACAGCUAUUAAGCUUAGUGAUUUUGUACCUUCUUUGAUUUGAGAACAUAUGCUUAAUCAGCAAAAAAAAUGCUAUCUUUUUUUAAAAAAAACGAACACCUUCAGAAUAAUACAAGACAUUAAACAUUCAAAGUCAUUUUCUUUUCUAGAUGACUAAUUCACAAAUCAACUAGCGUUAUUAAUUCAUUACAAAAAAAUUGCCUACUUUUCCAAACCACAUGAAUAAUAAUAAAAAAGAAAAAGAAAAGCUUGUUGUUUAAUUUGACCAUCAUCAUCAACAGGUAUAAACAAAUAUGGACAAACAUAUGGCAGCAGAAAUAAAUACAAAUACAUACAAUAAUAUACAGAAACGUUCAUGCACACCUUCAUCAAUACUGCCAUUCGAUUUAAACCGCUUAAUUUUCAGUCUGGUUACAUUAACAGACCAUGUCAUGAAAGGGAAUAGCACCAUUACGUCUUUGGAAAAAAGAAAAAAAAAAAUGCAAAUUUUUGUAUAAAUACAGUGCUGUGAAAAAGUAAGUACACCCCCAUGAAUAGUGUAGUACUUAGAACAGAUACAGGAUUGACAUUCCGUCAAAGUUAAUAGACAAAAUAAAUUAUAAUUUAAUAAAUCAUACUUUUUAUAAUAAUUUGUGCCAUUUCUUUUUUACAUCACUGUAUGUUUCUUUAAAUAUAUACUAUUAUAUCCAUGAGAGACUAGAAAUCAAAUUAAGCAGUGAAUGGUUAUGGAUGUUAUAGGAUAGCUUAGAAUUUGUUAUCACCAUUCACAAAUAUAAAGUGGAUGGAAGAUGUAUGUGGGGCUCUUCAUUAAGACUGAGGUAGACACAAGUAACUGGCCAACAAGCAAAUUAAAAAAAGAAAGAAAAAAAAAAACUGGCCUUCCCUGGGUCUGAGGGAAAUUCAAUCAGGAAUUUUACACACUAGACUAAACAUGUUUUUUGUUGCUUAAUACACAAAAAAAAAUGAAAUAUUACUGAUUUUGUAAAUAACCUAGAAAAAUAUUACAAUUGCAGAACAAAUCAACAGACAAAAUGACACAAAACUACAUUUGAUUUCAGAUUAGGUCACAACGUUUUGUAUUUGCUUAAAAUGUACUUCUGUAAGUUACCUUAAAUAUACAAAAAUAUAGCAACUAUAGACAGAUUUUCACAUAAAGUCUCCCUUGUACUGAAAAAGCACCAUCAUAAAUUUAAAAAAGGUCAAUGGCUAGCUGAGUUCAUGUGAGGUAUGGUUGAAAAAAAAUUCAAGAGAAAUGAAUUAUGAAGAUCGACAGAAAAAACACAGAAAGAUUGUUUCAAUAUAAUAAAGUAAACUGCCUGUGGCCAGAUGUUUUAGCUCUGAAGUGGAGCAAUACAAGCGUUGCUUGCCCAUGUAUUCGAAAUACUAUAUACAACUGUACUGUGCUUUGAACACAAGCCACAGCAAAGGGCAUCACAAUGAUUUGUAUUUAUCCAAAGUACAGCUGCACUGGGCAAAAGAAACCUAACAUAGAAAAUUAAAUGCGGGAAAAAAAGCUAACAAAACAGCAUUCAAACUUCAACACAUCGACUAAAGAGAUGCUCACUUUUUCAGUCAGGAAAUAAACCUCUAAAACAAUAUUUAACUGCAUGUUUGGUAGAUCUUUAAGUGCAACCGAAACUCGCUAAAAAGCAGCAAAUGUUAAAACCAGCUAUUUGCUUCCUCAAAGAUCAAACCAUUUGAGUUUCAGUUUGUUUUCUUCAUGUCUUGAGCGUAAAGAAAUAUCGGCAUGUUGUGAGAAUGAGAACUUAUGAAGGG